ACUAGCAGCUAUAGGUCUCUGCAACUCUCACAUGGUCGCCUAUUGAAGCUAAGCAGGGCUAAGCUUGGUCAGUACCUGGAUGGGCGACCACUUGGGAAAGCAAGAUUGCUUUCGGAA
rnacentral:rRNA from 1 species